AGUGAACGCUGGCGGCGAGCCUAACACAUGCAAGUCGAACGAUGAUGGAGGAGCUUGCUCUUCCUGAUUAGUGGCGCACGGGUGAGUAAUGCAUAGAUAAUGUGCCCCUUAGUUCGGGAUAGCCACUGGAAACGGUGAUUAAUACCGGAUACUCCUUCUUACUAUAAGGUAAGUCGGGAAAGUUUUUCGCUAAGGGAUCAGUCUAUGUCCCAUCAGUUUGUUGGUGAGGUAAUGGCUCACCAAGACUAUGACGGGUAUCUGGUUUGAGAGGAUGAUCAGACACACUGGAACUGAGACACGGUCCAGACUCCUACGGGAGGCAGCAGUGAGGAAUAUUGCACAAUGGAGGAAACUCUGAUGCAGCAACGCCGCGUGGAGGAUGACGCAUUUCGGUGUGUAAACUCCUUUUAAGAGGGAAGAUUAUGACGGUACCUCUUGAAUAAGCACCGGCUAACUCCGUGCCAGCCGCCGCGGUAAGAC
rnacentral:rRNA from 1 species